rnacentral:rRNA from 1 species
GUAGGGCGGGACACGUGGUAUCCUGUCUGAAUAUGGGGGGACCAUCCUCCAAGGCUAAAUACUCCUGACUGACCGAUAGUGAACCAGUACCGUGAGGGAAAGGCGAAAAGAACCCCGGCGAGGGGAGUGAAAAAGAACCUGAAACCGUGUACGUACAAGCAGUGGGAGCACAGAGCAAUCUGUGUGACUGCGUACCUUUUGUAUAAUGGGUCAGCGACUUAUAUUCUGUAGCAAGGUUAACCGAAUAGGGGAGCCGAAGGGAAACCGAGUCUUAACUGGGCGUUAAGUUGCAGGGUAUAGACCCGAAACCCGGUGAUCUAGCCAUGGGCAGGUUGAAGGUUGGGUAACACUAACUGGAGGACCGAACCGACUAAUGUUGAAAAAUUAGCGGAUGACUUGUGGCUGGGGGUGAAAGGCCAAUCAAACCGGGAGAUAGCUGGUUCUCCCCGAAAGCUAUUUAGGUAGCGCCUCGUGAAUUCAUCUCCGGGGGUAGAGCACUGUUUCGGCAAGGGGGUCAUCCCGACUUACCAACCCGAUGCAAACUGCGAAUACCGGAGAAUGUUAUCACGGGAGACACACGGCGGGUGCUAACGUCCGUCGUGAAGAGGGAAACAACCCAGACCGCCAGCUAAGGUCCCAAAGUCAUGGUUAAGUGGGAAACGAUGUGGGAAGGCCCAGACAGCCAGGAUGUUGGCUUAGAAGCAGCCAUCAUUUAAAGAAAGCGUAAUAGCUCACUGGUCGAGUCGGCCUGCGCGGAAGAUGUAACGGGGCUAAACCAUGCACCGAAGCUGCGGCAGCGACGCUUAUGCGUUGUUGGGUAGGGGAGCGUUCUGUAAGCCUGCGAAGGUGUGCUGUGAGGCAUGCUGGAGGUAUCAGAAGUGCGAAUGCUGACAUAAGUAACGAUAAAGCGGGUGAAAAGCCCGCUCGCCGGAAGACCAAGGGUUCCUGUCCAACGUUAAUCGGGGCAGGGUGAGUCGACCCCUAAGGCGAGGCCGAAAGGCGUAGUCGAUGGGAAACAGGUUAAUAUUCCUGUACUUGGUGUUACUGCGAAGGGGGGACGGAGAAGGCUAUGUUGGCCGGGCGACGGUUGUCCCGGUUUAAGCGUGUAGGCUGGUUUUCCAGGCAAAUCCGGAAAAUCAAGGCUGAGGCGUGAUGACGAGGCACUACGGUGCUGAAGCAACAAAUGCCCUGCUUCCAGGAAAAGCCUCUAAGCAUCAGGUAACAUCAAAUCGUACCCCAAACCGACACAGGUGGUCAGGUAGAGAAUACCAAGGCGCUUGAGAGAACUCGGGUGAAGGAACUAGGCAAAAUGGUGCCGUAACUUCGGGAGAAGGCACGCUGAUAUGUAGGUGAAGCGACUUGCUCGUGGAGCUGAAAUCAGUCGAAGAUACCAGCUGGCUGCAACUGUUUAUUAAAAACACAGCACUGUGCAAACACGAAAGUGGACGUAUACGGUGUGACGCCUGCCCGGUGCCGGAAGGUUAAUUGAUGGGGUCAGCGCAAGCGAAGCUCUUGAUCGAAGCCCCGGUAAACGGCGGCCGUAACUAUAACGGUCCUAAGGUAGCGAAAUUCCUUGUCGGGUAAGUUCCGACCUGCACGAAUGGCGUAAUGAUGGCCAGGCUGUCUCCACCCGAGACUCAGUGAAAUUGAACUCGCUGUGAAGAUGCAGUGUACCCGCGGCAAGACGGAAAGACCCCGUGAACCUUUACUAUAGCUUGACACUGAACAUUGAGCCUUGAUGUGUAGGAUAGGUGGGAGGCUUUGAAGUGUGGACGCCAGUCUGCAUGGAGCCGACCUUGAAAUACCACCCUUUAAUGUUUGAUGUUCUAACGUGGACCCGUAAUCCGGGUUGCGGACAGUGUCUGGUGGGUAGUUUGACUGGGGCGGUCUCCUCCUAAAGAGUAACGGAGGAGCACGAAGGUUGGCUAAUCCUGGUCGGACAUCAGGAGGUUAGUGCAAUGGCAUAAGCCAGCUUGACUGCGAGCGUGACGGCGCGAGCAGGUGCGAAAGCAGGUCAUAGUGAUCCGGUGGUUCUGAAUGGAAGGGCCAUCGCUCAACGGAUAAAAGGUACUCCGGGGAUAACAGGCUGAUACCGCCCAAGAGUUCAUAUCGACGGCGGUGUUUGGCACCUCGAUGUCGGCUCAUCACAUCCUGGGGCUGAAGUAGGUCCCAAGGGUAUGGCUGUUCGCCAUUUAAAGUGGUACGCGAGCUGGGUUUAGAACGUCGUGAGACAGUUCGGUCCCUAUCUGCCGUGGGCGCUGGAGAACUGAGGGGGGCUGCUCCUAGUACGAGAGGACCGGAGUGGACGCAUCACUGGUGUUCGGGUUGUCAUGCCAAUGGCACUGCCCGGUAGCUAAAUGCGGAAGAGAUAAGUGCUGAAAGCAUCUAAGCACGAAACUUGCCCCGAGAUGAGUUCUCCCUGACUCCUUGAGAGUCCUGAAGGAACGUUGAAGACGACGACGUUGAUAGGCCGGGUGUGUAAGCGCAGCGAUGCGUUGAGCUAACCGGUACUAAUGAACCGUGAGGCUUAACCUUACAACGCCGAAGGUGUUU